rnacentral:antisense_RNA from 1 species
ACCUCCCACAGGCUCCCGGGCCGGGCGUGCAAGGCCCCCUCUCCUGCCAGGGCCCAGGACGCUGCGGGCCCCAACGGAGGGGAAGGGGACUAAGUAGGGGAAGAAGCUGUAAACAGCCCCAGCGUCCGGGCCUCGCCUCGAAGAGCCGCGCUUCCCAGGCCCAGCCGCGGGCCGCCCCGGCCCCCAGCCUGCCCCGGGGCCGCCGCGCCCGGGGUCCGGGACACCGGAGGGGAGUCGGGUCCCCUCCCCGGAGAGCUCCGGGAGCUCGCGGAGCGGCCCCAGGAGCAGAGAAGGGGGAAGUCAGGACUUACCUGUCAUUACUUUCUACGCCAUCUUGGAUCCACUUGUCAACGUCCCCACAAAGCAUUAUGGACGCCCCGCGUCUGCAUUGAAUCAACCCGAGGUUUCCUUGCCGCCCGCGGCGCGGCGCGGAGCUGCUCGCGGAUUUAUUUGUGCGCGUAGAUGUGAGCGUUUCUGCUCCUGCGGCCGCGCUUCCAGGAAGCCCGCGAGCGGCCGGGGUCGCCUUCAGGGCCGCGCAGACCAGCUCCGCACCCGCCGCCCGGAGAGGUGCCUCUGCCCUGGGAAACCGCCCCGGGGCCGUUGGGCUCCGGGAGCUGGGAGGACGCCGUGUCCCCGAGUCCACCAGCGUCGAAGCACGAUUUUAAAAAAAAAUUGAGCCAAAUGCAA